rnacentral:rRNA from 1 species
GACGGAGGAUGCAAGUGUUAUCCGGAAUCACUGGGCGUAAAGCGUCUGUAGGUGGUUUAAUAAGUCAACUGUUAAAUCUUGAGGCUCAACCUCAAAAUCGCAGUCGAAACUAUUAGGCUAGAGUAUAGUAGGGGUAAAGGGAAUUUCCAGUGGAGCGGUGAAAUGCGUAGAGAUUGGAAAGAACACCGAUGGCGAAGGCACUUUACUGGGCUAUUACUAACACUCAGAGACGAAAAGCUAGGGUAGCAAAUGGGG